AAUCAUGGGAUUUGUCAAAGGUCAUUCGAGAAUACAAAAAAGUGAACGGGGUGCCAGGUAGCCGGGAGAGUGGGGUGUAACAGCAAGAGAGAGGGGGCAGAUGCAAGUGGGAGACAGGGAGAGAUGGUGAGAAGUGGGGAGAGAGGGGAGAGAGGUUUCAGUUAGACAGACAACCACUGGUAAAGCCAUGGCUCAAUGCUUCUAGGAGAGUCAAGAAAAUGUCCUCAAUCGAGAGAAUGCAACUUCAGAACCCCCUCUCGGCUGGCGGUGGA